UAUGGCCCUUGCAGGAAUCAGAAGCAUCCUGGAGAUUGACCAUAGAUAGAAUACCACAAGCUCAACCAACUGGUGAUCUUGACUACAGCUCUGAUGCCAGAUAUGAGGUAUGUUAUAAUUCCCUAAUUCAGAUUGAAAGUAUAACUAUUAAAUUUAAAAUAAAAAACAAAGAAGACUAAGUCGGGGCAACUUAGUUAUCCCACAUUGGAAAAGUACAUAAUAUCAUAUUGUGGUAUGGUGAAGGAAUUUGUUCUAUCUUAGUCAGAAAAGAGCAUCAGAAACAGUUUACUACAUGGAUCAAACAGCACUAAACGUAUUGUUCCCUCUGUACUUUCAAGUAUUGUUUCCUCUGUACUUACAAAGGCCUGAAUCAUCAUAUUGGCCACAUCUGACGUUGACAGAUUUGUACUGGGACUGGCAUAAUUCUCCUGUUGUAUGUCAUAAUCUGAAGACCACCUGGAUAUAACUGUAAAACAUGAUAUUGGUUCAUUACAUCAAUAACAUCAGGAUGAGCAAGGGCAGAAUGAAGAGCUUGGUAAAAUGUGCAUUCCAGAGGGCAUGAGAUGAACCCUCUGAAGAUUCAAGCACCUGCUCUUUCUGUAAAAAUUUUAGGCAUCUACUUGUCAGGGGCAUAUUGGGACCUCCGCUCCAAAGAAAAAGGUAAAUGGUUGCAUUUUGCUUUCUUAAUUCCACAAUGGAAGUACCAUGGUUUGCAGGUCUCACUGGGUUUUCUAAGGUAAUAUGUUUCAUAGGAAUGUCCCUUUGGUUCAUACAUGGUUUGACAUAAAAGGGAAUCAUCUUUGAGUGGUGUCUGGAACAGGAAAGAGCUGUGCAGCAGAUCCAGGCUGUGACACAGCAGCUUGUCUUGGUGACUUCACUUUACCAUAAGAAAAUGCCACAGAACUGGGUGGCUUAAAUAACAGAAAUUUAUUUCCUCACAGUUCUGGAGGCUAGAAGUCCCAAAUCUAUUUCUGGCAGAGUCAAUUCCUAUUAGGACCUCUUCCUGGCUUGCAGAUGGCCAUCCUCUUGCUCUGCCCUCACAUGACAGAGUCAGAGAGAGUUGCUUUUAUAAUGGGUCCACCAGUCCUAUGGAUUAGGGCCCAACCUUUAUAAAAUAAUUUAUCUUUGUCUUCUGAAGAUCCUGUCUCCAAAUACAAUUACGGUGGAAAUUAGGGCUUCAACAUAUGAAUUCAGGUGGAGGUGUGUGUAAAAAUAGAAUCACAAUUUAGGCCCUAAAUUGUUGGUUCUGCAGCAAGGUCAUCCCAUUUGAAGUGGAGAAUUAAAUGCCUAUUAGGAAUAGCUUCUACAUGCCAUUGGGCCCUGGUAGAGACAGAACACUGGACCAUGGGAUACCAAGUGACCAGCCACCCAGAGCUGCUCAAUUGAGCUAGGUUUUGUUGGGCUACAAUCAAGUCAUAAAUUUGGGUGAGCACAGUAGUUUAUUAUAAGUGGAGACAUUACUUUAGGGUGGAAGGCAUGAGUAAGUUGCAUGAGCAGUUAGCUCAGACUUGCUUGUCAGCCAUCACCUUUCCCUCUAGCCCACACCUUUGCCUUUUAUGGGGGUUUCCUUAUGUGGGUACAAGCUGAAAAUGCAUGAUAGCUCCAUUAGAGUCAUAUCCAGGGGUGGUUUUGAAGAAAGUGGUGAGGAAAAUAUCUUAAAAAUAAGUGGAGCUUAAUCAUCACCUCCCCUUGUUUUUUGGAGCAUUUUUUAAUUGAUGUGAAAUUCACAUAUAAAAUUAACCAUUUUAAAGUGUACAAUUCUGUAGCAUUUAGUACAUUUACAAUGUUGUGCAACCAUCACCUCUACCUACAUCUUAGUUUCAUCACCCUGAGAGGAAAUUCAAUAUCCAUUAAGCAGUCACUCUUCAAUCCCUCCUCCUUCCAGCCCCUGGCAAUUACUGAUCUGCUUUCUGUCUAUAUAGAUUUAUUGAUUCUGUAUAUUUCAUAUAAAUAAAAUCAUACAAUGUUUGACCUUUUGUGUAUGUCUUCUUUGACUUAGCAUAAUGUUUUCUAGGUUCAGCUAUGUUGUCGCAUGUAUCAGUACUUCAUUUUUUAUGGCUGAAUAAUACUCCGUGUUACGGAUAUACCACAUUUGUUCAUCCAUUCAUCCAUUGAUGGGAUUUGGAUUGUUUCCCCCUUUCAGACCCUUCAAGAAUGAGUGUGUGGGUCACACCACCAGAUAAUUCACCCAGACCUGCAAAGGUAGGUGAUAGCUGCUAAGACAAUUCAGAAUGGAUGGUUGGAGAGAGAGAUGAAUACCAGUUGUGGCCCCAAGACCAACUGCAGUGAUGUGGCUGAGUUUGACCCACUAACCUUUCUUUUUUAAAAGUCUUACCCUCAGGAUGAGAGGCCCACUGAGGAGUAGCUCCCAGGAUAUGCAUGGAGAAGUGGAUUGAUUUGGUACAAGGGGUGAAAAGUGGCAGUUAUGAAGUGUGCUAUUUAGAUCUCCAAAAGAUAACCAUCCACAGGGAGUGCAGUUAUCUGACAGCACCAGUUGCAGAUACCCUCAGGAUCUUCCUUCAGUGUCCACACCAAUGAGCUGAGGCCAUUCAUUCUGGGCAGUCCACAGGCAAUGACUGCACAUGGUGUUGGUAUCAGGGCUCAUCGUUUCCAGCUAGUGUGAGACUCCUCCUCUAUGGGCAGUCUUGGUGUUGGAGCUCACUGCUAAAUUGGUUGAGACUUUCUCAGAAUGAGCACAGUCUGAGGCUCUUCCUACCUAAUCUUACUUCUCCUUUCAUGUGAGUCAAACCUAUAUCAGGGGCAGAAAUAUUUUUUUUCCUGCUUGUGCUCUCUCUCCUCUUUAUAUUUUAUAGGCAUUAUCUCCAACAAACAUCUCGUACUUUGAACUGCAUCUUGGCUUCUUCUUUCCAAAGGACCUCCUCUCCCAGACUUGCAUCAUCAUCACUGGUAGAUGAUAACUUAGGCUUGAAUAAAUUAAGUGGCUCACCUCAGGUCCCACAAAUGUUAAAUGGACUAUUUUUUCACAAUACUUAUUCUCAUACUGAAUAAUAUCCAUGAAAUCACGCAAUUGAUGUGCAAGUUAUAAUUCCCUAAUUCACAUUGAAAGUAUAACUAACUAUUAAAUUUAAAAUAAAAAACAAGACUAAGUCUGGUCAACUUAGUUAUCCCACACUGGAAAAGUACAUAAUAUCACAUUUUUUUUUUGUUGAGAAUUUGUUUGUUCUAUGAAAGCAUAUUUGGCCAAGAGUUAAUUUUUGAGAUUUAGUCAAUGUAGUCAUUCUGAAGAAAUGGAGUACCUAUCGUCUUACUGAGAAACCAAUUUCAAUGCUUAUGGCUGCCAGCCUGUGUUAGACACAUCCAUCAAAACAGCAAAGGAGAUAGUCCAGUUUUAUGCCCUCCAAGCCAAUAUUCUAUUCCUAUGGCCUCUAAAAUGGAGUAUGUGUACUUAAAGAAAUAUGCAAGAUAAUACACAGAGUGACAAAGGAAAUAUUUUAACUAUUUUGUGAACAUAAAAUUAAACUUUUACUAAUAGGUUGGUGCAAAAGGAAUUGCAGCUUUUGCCAUUACAUUCAAUAGCAAAAACCACAAUUACUUUUGAACCAACCAAAUACUUAAAAUAGGCGGACACCAGUUCAUAUAUUCCACAUGCAUAAACUAUGUAUGCUCAAAAAUGGAGACAACUGUUAAAACCUGCUGUCUAAAAUUAACAAAACACAAGCCUUCCAUUCUAGUGGAGAAGAGGACAAAUAUAAUAAAUUAAUGCUAUAUGCAUAUACACUAUACAUAAAGUAUGUCCUAAGAGCUAUGGAGAAAAAUGUAGAAAAGGAGAACAGGGAGUGCUAGUGUGAGAUUCAAGAUUAAAUGUGGUUCUGAGGUAGGACCUCACUGUAAAGGUGAUGACUAAGCAAAGACCCAAAGAGGGUGAGAAAGCCAGCUCUGUAGGUAACUUGAGAAAAAAGUGCUCCAGAGAGAGGAACUAGGAUUGUCCUUUUGCUAGGGGCACAGCCUAAUAAAAGUAUAACUAACGUCCUUUUUUGUUACAAAGCUGGACAUUCAAAACAUUAAACAUAUUAUAACCAAUUUUUGCCAGAGGUUGCAAGUGUUUUUUGUGAAAAAUCAGACCUUGGCGAUGACCUUGAGCAGUAGGAUAUAAAUAACUCCCACAAGCUUAAUGUUCCAAUAAUGGAACACUAGGCAUAGAUAGGUUAAAGAUCAUUGCUAUCCCCAUACUCUGGACCCCUGCCUGAUGAAUACAUUAAGCUGACACCUGAGACACUGAUUCACCAAUUAACAAACUUCAGGCAUGUUGUUAAUGAUAGAACCUUCAUGACAGUGAUCCAGAGUUCCAGAUUCUAGAGUAUUCAGAGGUGGAAAUUCAUAGUCCAUGCUCAAGAUCGAAUGGCAUCUCUCAGACUGGAAGACCUUUCUGAAGUCAGUUCCAGACAUCCCUGGAAGGCUGGAUAAUUUGGGAAAAGGCUGACUCAAUGUAAGGUAAUACAGCAGACCAAAGCCCCCAUAGUUCAUGCCAGAAGUGACAAAGCGGAAAAACACUCAGGUAGACAAGCACUCAGGGACCGUUCUAGAGGCAAGUGGCCUAACCUUUUCUCCAUCAUGCAGGUUUGGCUUAAAUUCUUACAGCUAAAAUCAUGAGUCCUUGGUUAUGACAAAAAUGUUCUAAGAUAUGACACUUACAAUAACUAUGAUGUUAAACAUUCUGCUAAAACUUCUCUGGGUGAAGAAAAGAUCACAUUUUUGGAUAUAGAUAUAAAAUCUGGGUGAACUGAGGCAAACAGAAAUUAAGAGUCUGCACUUCGGAGUCAGACUGUUGGGGUUUAAGUCCCAGCUUUCUCACCUGCUAGGCAGGCAGCACUGGGUGUUUCUUAAGGUUUUUUAGUCUCCAAGCCUUUAAAAUGGGAUAAGAGUAUACACCUCAUAGGGUUGUUAUGAUGAGAAAUAAAUGAAUAUGUGAAAAAAAUGCCUGAAACAUAUAAAACAUGGUAUAAAUGAAUGCUUUUUAAAUAAAACAAUUCUUUUUAGCAUGGAUAGUGGUUUUUUUUGUGUGUGUGUGAGACAGGGUCUCACUCUGUCACCCAGGUUGGAGCCUCAACAUCCUGGGCUAAAGCAAUCCUCCCACCUCAGUUUCCCAAGUAGCUGGGACUAGAGGCACGUGCCACAUGCACCCAGCUAAUUUUUAAAUUAUUUUGUAGAGAUGAGGUCUUGCUAUAUUGCCCAGGUUGGUCCUGAAUUCCUAGUGUCAAGUGAUCCUUCUGCCUCGGCUUCCCAAAGUAUUGGGAAUACUGGCAUAAGUCAUCACACUCGGCAAAACAGAAUUCUCAUUUAAACUUCCUUUGCAACGUUACUUCCAAAGACUUGCCUCUUUCACCUUCAUCAAAGAAAAAAGACUUACUGACAAUUCCUGAGAGACUUUUACACAGAAAUGUUUAAAACAGAACUUUUUAUACAUUAUAAUUCUAUAAGCUCUGCCAAAUUUAUAUCAAACCUUUAACUGAAUUUCAAAGUGAAUGGUGUAAAAGAUGACCACAAAGAUUAUCAAAUGAAUACUUUAUUAGAGACAUAACACGUAUAAAAUAAAUUUCUUUUCAUCAUGGAGUUACCAGAUU
rnacentral:lncRNA from 1 species